AUUGAACGCUGGCGGCAGGCCUAACACAUGCAAGUCGAGCGGAUGAAGGGUGCUUGCUCCUGGAUUCAGCAGCGGACGGGUGUGUAAUGCCUAGGAAUCUGCCUGGUAGUGGGGGAUAACGUCCGGAAACGGGCGCUAAUACCGCAUACGUCCUGAGGGAGAAAGUGGGGGAUCUUCGGACCUCACGCUAUCAGCUGAGCCUAUGUCGGAUUAGCUAGUUGGUGGGGUAAAGGCCUACCAAGGCGACGAUCCGUAACUGGUCUGAGAGGAUGAUCAGUCACACUGGAACUGAGACACGGUCCAGACUCCUACGGGAGGCAGCAGUGGGGAAUAUUGGACAAUGGACGAAAGCCUGGUCCAGCCAUGCCGCGUAUGUGAAGAAGGUCUUCGGAUUGUAAAGCACUUUAAGUUGGGAGGAAGAGCAGUAGAUUAAUACCUUGCUGUUUUGACGGUACCAACAGAAUAAGCACCGGCUAACUUCGUG
rnacentral:rRNA from 1 species